rnacentral:rRNA from 1 species
UACGAAGGGGGCUAGCGUUGUUCGGAAUUACUGGGCGUAAAGCGUGCGCAGGCGGCUUCUCAAGUCAGGGGUGAAAGCCCAGAGCUCAACUCUGGAAUUGCCUUUGAGACUGAGUGGCUUGAGUACGGGAGAGGUGAGUGGAACUCCUAGUGUAGAGGUGGAAUUCGUAGAUAUUAGGAAGAACACCAGUGGCGAAGGCGGCUCACUGGUCCGGUACUGACGCUGAGGUGCGAAAGCGUGGGGAGCAAACAGG